GACGAACGCUGGCGGCGUGCCUAAUACAUGCAAGUUGAGCGAUGAAGAUUGGUGCUUGCACCAAUUUGAAGAGCAGCGAACGGGUGAGUAACGCGUGGGGAAUCUGCCUUUGAGCGGGGGACAACAUUUGGAAACGAAUGCUAAUACCGCAUAACAACUUUAAACAUAAGUUUUAAGUUUGAAAGAUGCAAUUGCAUCACUCAAAGAUGAUCCCGCGUUGUAUUAGCUAGUUGGUGAGGUAAAGGCUCACCAAGGCGAUGAUACAUAGCCGACCUGAGAGGGUGUUCGGCCACAUUGGGACUGAGACACGGCCCAAACUCCUACGGGCGGCAGCAGUAGGGAAGCUUCGGAGAUGGACGAAAGUCUGACCGAGCAACGCCGCGUGAGUGAAGAAGGGUUUCGGAUCGGAAAACUCUGUUGGUAGAGAAGAACGUUGGUGAGAGUGGAAAGCUCAUCAAGUGACGGUAACUAGCCAGAAAGCGACGGCUAACUACGUG
rnacentral:rRNA from 1 species